rnacentral:lncRNA from 1 species
AAAGAAAGAGGUUGCAACUCACAAAUAAUUUUGAUUCUUAGACAGUUACAACCUACACUUUGAAGAACACUUUCAGUUGGUAUUUCAAGAAAGCUUUUAACUACCCCGAGAAUUAUGUACGCUACCAUCUUGGAGUUAAGGAAAACAAAUCAAACAAGCACAUUUGUCCAUAACAUUUUAAUACUUUUCCACUUUUAAAUACUGGUUUAAAUUUUUUGAUUGUAACAUGGAAGGUCCAACUUUAUUAUUUUUAAAAAACAUCAUCAGAAUCAUAAAGCUAUUAUAGUUACACUCUACACACUCCCAAGGUACUUUAAAAUGAUUAUGUUUUGAGACUGUAGAUGAACAAUGACAGUAAGCCAAAUACACCAUCUGUACAACCUGGACUAAAUACUGGUGAAGUGUUUUAGCUGGACAAACAACCGAUAAGCUUAAAGAUAACCAGCACAAUUUCACAGGAGAACCAGCUUGGCCCAACUAAAAAUGUCUUUUUAUAGCAACUGACACUGAUGUACAGUUGGUACAAAUUAGCUGAUGAAACUGAACAAAUGGGAAGUCCAUUCUUCCUCUUCCUCAUUUUGCUUUCUUACCUCUCUCCUUACCCUUUCCUCCCUUCCUCUCCUUGGUCUGGCUGCCCUGUAACAAUCUCAAACCAACUGCUGCUCCUUCUCUACCAAAAAAUCAGGAGUCCUGAAUUCCAAGUGAAACACUGCUCUCUUAUCCUGCACAGUAAGCACUCAGGGACAAAAACCUCAGAUCACCAAUAUUUUUCAGGUUUCGAACAGCACAAAGAAGUGACUGAGUAGAAAAUAGAGUAAAAGGAUAAUUUUUCUUUUGCUUAGGGGAAUAAAAUUAUCUGUGGAUGAGAAAAAUGUUAAUAUUCGGCAUGUAGGAAUUAGUCAAAUGAAAAUAAUUUUAGGUGGUUGAAAUACUAUCUUAAGGCCAAUACCCUUUUAAAUGUUGACCUCUUCUGAAACAUUUCCAUUUUCCUGGACUCAUUUCUAAAUCUGAUUGGGCAGGCAGGAUAUACUCCAGUAAAGUACCAGUACAGUUAUCUAAAGGUAACAUGUAUCUUUUCAUUCUUUUUAAAUACAAAUAUUUUUAAUGUAAUCAUUUUAUUUACAGAAUUGCAAAAAGUAUGUAUCAUCACCUUUAGUGCAAAUGCAACUAAUGAUAAUUAGAUUUAGAUACUGCUUUGUAAACUUUCUAUACCUUUGUAAAAUAUAGUUAUCCGAUUUAGUUAUGAAAGAGUUACUUGUCCGUAUUCAUGUUACCAGACAUGGCAAACAGAAACACAGUGGGCAAGGAGAAUUACAUUGAAGAUUCCCUUCAGUGCUUAUGAGUGAAUGAACCUCCCUCCCAAACCCUCCCAUUUUCCCAUCCCAAUCCCACAGCUGAUUGUAAAAUAAAAUACACAUUUGAGGUAUAAACUUUUUUUUUAAACAUCACAAUAUAAAAUGUUAACUGGUGAAGUAGUAAACUGGUAUGAUAAUUUGUCUUAUUUGCCUUGCUAGCAUUACCACCAUGUAGGCACUUUUCCACAUAGAUUAUGAACAGCAUUUCUCUGUAAUAAGGCAUAUUCCAUGCACAUCAUUUAGAGAAAGGUAAAUUUAAAAAUAGAAAAGAUUUAUGGAGCAUGAAAUCUGCGUGCAUGUAAAGUAAGCAUAUGUUUUAUAUGUAUUUUUCUCUCUGUACAGAAUUAAUAAAUAUCACUAUAUCUGAUGCAAGUAAUUCACUUCCAGGAUUCUGCAUAUUAAGUGAUCAGGCUAAUCCCAUCAUUAAAUUAUCACCUUGCAUUUAUCAUUAAGACUCCAUUACCAUGUAGCCAAAUAGAAUACAUACAGGAUAUGUUCUAUGUGACAUGAUUUUCUGCUUUACAAAAUGGGUCUGGUUUCUGUGUUUCCAAAGAGAUUAACAAGUAAGCAAAGCAUCUACAAAGUGCCUCUGACUUAUAUAAAUACAUCUGUGUGUAAACACAAUGAAGAUUUGAAGUGGGCAGUCAUUUUGACUUCAAUGAGUACCAUUCCUUGCCUCAACUCCAUGCUUCAAGGUUUUUUACAGAGGACUAAAACUAAAGAAGGCAUUUUACACGUUAAGUUCUUAUAGCAACUAAGCAAAGUAUCAAUUUGAGUAAGUGGAGUCCUUUGCUAUGUUGCUGAAAUCUGUGAUCAAGAGGCAAAUAGGAACAAUUGCUCAGAUUUUGUGUAUACCUUGCAACAUAUCUUUUAAACUGACCCAAACUAGGGUGAGCAAAUAUAUCUGUUACAGAAUACUAGAUAUUUAUAUUGAAUCAAAUGUCAAAUUCAAACAGGGCUAUUUGCUUUAACAAGUAUACUGUAUAUUCUGCUACAAAUUUCAGAAAAACAUAAGCUCAUCUUAUCCUGACCAUUUUACUAGAAUGCAUUCAAUACCCACAAGAUUUGUACAGAUGUUUCUGUCUGGAGGCAGGCAGAGCCAAUUUAAGGAUUACCAAACUGUGUUUGUAACAAACUGAAAAAAAUCUGUAGCACAUAGUACACAACCAAAAAAAUACAACAGAAAUAUAAAGGUAUGGGGGGGGUGGAUAAAACUUUUCACUCUUUCUCCAUCAGAACCAAGGUUCUUCAUAGGAAUAAGACUAUAGAAAAGGCAAAAUCACAGGUUAUUGACAGCCCUGCUAUUAAGACACUUACGUAACAACACCAAUCAUUAUAGAAAUCAGCAGCAAUGAAUUCUGUGAUUAUACAAAGCAAAAAAAGUCAAAAAAAAUUCUGGACACAGAUUUGACUGUAGGCCUGAAGAAAGAAUCCCAUCUAGAUUACAGAAAGCACAUGCCCAUGUGCAUUCCACUUUUGUGCUUUUCUUUUGUGCACAAAACCUGAUAAAACUGAGGAUCUUAGGCUGGACCAUAGUAAAUUAAAAAUUUUGAAAAAGUUCUCCAAAAUUAAAGCAUCAAUUCCUAGUUGUGAUUAAGAGUUGAUUUUUUUCCUCUUCUAGGAACAAGCAAAUAAAAAUAUAGCCACGCACAUGUAAUUGUACAUCUAUAGCACAUGCUGAGCGAGGAGAUCUAUCAGGAGGACAGCUAGUGUUAGAUGCUCAGCUUUACUAUUGCAGUAUCUCUUCAUUUCUGUACACAAGCUCAGGGUGUUGGGCCACAAACAAGGCUGUAGAUCCUUUGUUCCAGCUUAGAGGAUUCAACUUUUUCUUUUUUCUUCAACAUUCGUCACACAGCCUUGGUUCAGUCACUGCAGAAAAGAAAACAAGUAAAAACCUCAGCUCAAUAUUACUAACAGCUGCAGGACUACCACAACAGUGUCC